rnacentral:lncRNA from 1 species
CUCUCCUGCACCCUCCCUCUUUCCCACUGCCGUCCAUGGUGAGUAGGAGGGAGGUGCAGUCCCCAACUCCUACCCCCCAGGUCUGUGUUACUUGGUUUUUAAAUGAUUGGUCAGGAUAAAACCCUAAAGAAAUAAAACUUUCAGUGGAUUCCAGGAAAAAAACACACCAUCACAUCAUGCCACACCAUCAUGCAGCAUGUCGGGGAGAUGAUCCCAAAUUCUGGCAAGGGUGUAAAGAAAUGGAUCCCUCAUAUAUUGCUGCAUGCGCAUUCUUCUGGGAGCAUGCCCCUGUUUCUGGGAACUGCUCCUGCACCACUGCCAUGCGGAUCCCAUCCAAGAUCUGUCCAUAGCUCCACCCCCCAGUCACAUUUGCUUGUUUCAGAAGUAGCAUCUGAUUAUUUAUUUAUUUAUUUAUACCUAGUUAUUUUUGCAUUGGAACUGAGAAAGCUAAUCAGUUUCUUUCCAGUGGUACAAUUAAUAAGAAACACCGCUUUGGAAUUGUUGGUGGCUAUAGUUCCCACCAAAGUCGACACAAAAAUGAGCAUAUGCCUGGGAUCCUGGCACAGUCCUUCCUCAUCUGGCCCAGCGGGUCUCUGGAUCAUUUGUUGUAUGCUGAGACUUUCUUGAUCUGGCAACAUGUGGGAUGGUAAACUGUCAAGAAGAGAAAAGGAGACAGUAAUGCCUAGGUCCUUCCAUUUCCUUGAGAUUAAUUUUAUAUUACAACAAAAGAAGAGAAUGAAUGAAUAAAUGCGAUGUUCUUGCA